rnacentral:rRNA from 1 species
GACGAACGCUGGCGGCGUGCCUAAUACAUGCAAGUCGAACGCUUCUUUCCUCCCGAGUGCUUGCUCUCAAUUGGAAAGAGGAGUGGCGGACGGGUGAGUAACACGUCUGUAACCUACCCAUCAGAGAGGUAUAACACUUGGAAACAGGAGCUAAUACCGCAUAACAGUUUAUGCCGCAUGGCAUAAGAGUGAAAGGCGCUUUCGGGUGUCGCUGAUGGUUGGACCCGCGGUGCAUUAGCUAGUUGGUGAGGUAACGGCUCACCAAGGCGACGAUGCAUAGCCGACCUGAGAGGGUGAUCGGCCACACUGGGACUGAGACACGGCCCAGACUCCUACGGGAGGCAGCAGUAGGGAAUCUUCGGCAAUGGACGAAAGUCUGACCGAGCAACGCCGCGUGAGUGAAGAAGGUCUUCGGAUCGUAAAGCUCUGUUGUUAGGGAAGAACAAGGACGGUAGUAACUGAACGUCCCCUGGCGGUACCUAACGAGAAAGCAACGGCUAACUACGUG